rnacentral:rRNA from 1 species
GAUGAACGCUGGCGGCGUGCCUAACACAUGCAAGUCGAGCGAUCUUCUUCGGAAGAGAGCGGCGGACGGGUGAGUAACGCGUGGGUAACCUGCCCUGUACACACGGAUAACAUACCGAAAGGUAUGCUAAUACGGGAUAAUAUGCUUUUAUCGCAUGGUAGAAGUAUCAAAGCUCCGGCGGUACAGGAUGGACCCGCGUCUGAUUAGCUAGUUGGUAAGGUAACGGCUUACCAAGGCGACGAUCAGUAGCCGACCUGAGAGGGUGAUCGGCCACAUUGGAACUGAGACACGGUCCAAACUCCUACGGGAGGCAGCAGUGGGGAAUAUUGCACAAUGGGCGAAAGCCUGAUGCAGCAACGCCGCGUGAGCGAUGAAGGCCUUCGGGUCGUAAAGCUCUGUCCUCAAGGAAGAUAAUACGGUACUUGAGGAGGAAGCCCCGGCUAACUACGUG